GGGCCAGUGGCGCAAUGGUUAGCGCAGAAAGCUUAUACCUUUAAGGUUCCUGGUUCGAGUCCAGGCUGGCCCA
rnacentral:tRNA from 1 species